rnacentral:misc_RNA from 1 species
ACACCUCAACUCUUUACGGUUUUCCGUGAUGAGCUUGGACUUUGGAGGUUUUGCUGGCCUGUGGGUCAGCUCCUCUCAAAUGAAUCAGCUUGCCAGUGUUUGGUGGGCAUCACAGGUGUGAUAACUAUCUACGCUUGUGGUUCUCCACCAGGUAACCUUCAGCAGUGGAGGUUCACUGGAGCUCACAGAUGUCUCUCCUCAGUGAGGACAGCCCUUUGAAU